rnacentral:lncRNA from 1 species
UGUGUGUGUGUGUGUAGGAAAGUUUAAAAAAAAAAUUAACCACAAAGACCAUUCAACGGUCAAAAGCAGUCAACACACCCAAGGACCAAUCAAAAUUCGCGGUAUUCCCUAUCCGCACUGCGGCCAAGACCGCACUAGACCGCGGUCUAGGGGCGAUGUUCCUGUUCUAAAUGGCACAAAGUGCGGUCUAGGACCGCACCCACACCGUGCAGUCUUAUUUAAUAGAAGAUGGGACCAAGAAGAAGCAUGCGACUGUCUGCAACUUCAGAUAAUCAAACAUUAAAGUAGGUGGGGCCGACUUCGGCAGUGGCAGAAACUAAUGAUAGGUCUUCGAAUCCUUGUCCCCAUUACCAUUAAAGUCUUUUAUAUUUAGGUGUUGUUUGUUUUUUCAAAAACAAAAUGUCUACAGUCUGUGAAUCAUAUCUGCAAACAUCUGCAACAGAAGAGAUGGACGAAACAUCUGCAGUAUGCAAGUAGAAGACUGUUUCUUUUUUGACGUCUGCAGUCUAUGAAAAUAAAAAAAUUUAAUAAAACGUUUUUUAAACUUAAAAGUGUUUUUAAACAUGAAAAUUUAAAUAAUUUUAAUUUUAUAACACUAAAAUAUAAAUCAUACAACCAUAGAUAUUUAAAAAAAAUCAUACAACAUUGAAAAAUAAAUCAAACCACUAAAAUCUUAUUGACAUUAGGUAAAAAGAAAAUUGCAACACAUGACUCAUUCAUCACACUCGUACUCUAAUUUCACAUAUUAUACAAAUAUUUUUAGCUUAUUGCCAUCUCUAUACAUGUUAGAGUAUGUGCUAUCAUUUUUAGAGAAAAAAUCCAACUAAUUAACAUAUCAAUGAUGAAUCACAUUUAAUGUAACCAUAUUAAACCCCAACUCUUUCAAGCAUUUCAUCAAAUGGUUGUCUUGCAUCCAAGGGUCACUUAUGAUUAUAAAAUUGAGCUUUCCUUUUGCCAAUGCUACUCUUCCCAGCAAAUCAAAUAAGAACUUAGUUCAAGGAAAUCUUUAGCCUAAUGCUUCCAGCCUAAUUAAUACCAAUGAACUACAAAAUAUUUGAAUUACAAGCAUUAAAACAUCAUAUAUGAAUACAAUUCUAGCAAUAAUAAAGAUUUAUUUCAGUUAAAACAUAAUUUCCAACAACUAUAUACAUCUAAUUUCAGUUAACAACGCCAUUUUUAGCUAAAAUGUGAUUUCCAACAUAUAUAUACAUCUGAUUUCAGUUAAAAACGUAAUUUCUAGCAACAAUAACAACUAAUUUCAACCAAUUGAAGAACAUUUUUCAUAUUUCAGCAAAACAUAUAUAUUUUUAGCAAAGAAAUCUGAUUUUUAACAACUACUAACAUAUAAUUUCAGCAAAUAAAUCCAAUUUUCAACAAAUGCACAUAUGAUUUUCGUGUUUUAGCAAACUAAUCUGAUUUCACCAUAUAACAUCCGAUUUCCAGCAACUAUAAUAAACCCUAGAAGAUAACAUCUGAUUUUACGGAAAAUGUUCUUACCGGUGAAAGUAGAGAUCGAAGACGACGUUAAGAUGUAGCGAGCGACGGCUAACCUGUUUCAGUGGAAAAACCGGCGGUGAGAUUGUGAAGAUCGAUGGUGGAGCGGCUGAAGAAAAUCUGUGGUGUUUUGUUAAGAGGCUAAAGAGGUAGCGAUGGAUGUCGGCGGCGGAUGUAGACGUCAACGACGAUGGAAGACGACAACUGGGUGGACGGUAAAGGCACUGGCAGCGAGAGGAGGAGGAUGACAGGUGAAGGGCGGGGGGUUGAAGGCUGAGAACGAAAGAGGUGAUGAUAUGUCUAAAGCAAUAAAGGGAGUUUUUUUUAGGUUUUAAUAAUGUGUACAGACUUUAGAAAAC